ACAUGGCCUAGUAGCUAAGACGCCAGGCUAAUAAUCUGAUGGAUGCAGGUUCGAGCCCGG
rnacentral:tRNA from 1 species